rnacentral:rRNA from 1 species
UGCAGUCGAGCGGACAGAUGGGAGCUUGCUCCCUGAUGUUAGCGGCGGACGGGUGAGUAACACGUGGGUAACCUGCCUGUAAGACUGGGAUAACUCCGGGAAACCGGGGCUAAUACCGGAUGCUUGUUUGAACCGCAUGGUUCAAACAUAAAAGGUGGCUUCGGCUACCACUUACAGAUGGACCCGCGGCGCAUUAGCUAGUUGGUGAGGUAACGGCUCACCAAGGCAACGAUGCGUAGCCGACCUGAGAGGGUGAUCGGCCACACUGGGACUGAGACACGGCCCAGACUCCUACGGGAGGCAGCAGUAGGGAAUCUUCCGCAAUGGACGAAAGUCUGACGGAGCAACGCCGCGUGAGUGAUGAAGGUUUUCGGAUCGUAAAGCUCUGUUGUUAGGGAAGAACAAGUACCGUUCGAAUAGGGCGGUACCUUGACGGUACCUAACCAGAAAGCCACGGCUAACUACGUGCCAGCAGCCGCGGUAAUACGUAGGUGGCAAGCGUUGUCCGGAAUUAUUGGGCGUAAAGGGCUCGCAGGCGGUUCCUUAAGUCUGAUGUGAAAGCCCCCGGCUCAACCGGGGAGGGUCAUUGGAAACUGGGGAACUUGAGUGCAGAAGAGGAGAGUGGAAUUCCACGUGUAGCGGUGAAAUGCGUAGAGAUGUGGAGGAACACCAGUGGCGAAGGCGACUCUCUGGUCUGUAACUGACGCUGAGGAGCGAAAGCGUGGGGAGCGAACAGGAUUAGAUACCCUGGUAGUCCACGCCGUAAACGAUGAGUGCUAAGUGUUAGGGGGUUUCCGCCCCUUAGUGCUGCAGCUAACGCAUUAAGCACUCCGCCUGGGGAGUACGGUCGCAAGACUGAAACUCAAAGGAAUUGACGGGGGCCCGCACAAGCGGUGGAGCAUGUGGUUUAAUUCGAAGCAACGCGAAGAACCUUACCAGGUCUUGACAUCCUCUGACAAUCCUAGAGAUAGGACGUCCCCUUCGGGGGCAGAGUGACAGGUGGUGCAUGGUUGUCGUCAGCUCGUGUCGUGAGAUGUUGGGUUAAGUCCCGCAACGAGCGCAACCCUUGAUCUUAGUUGCCAGCAUUCAGUUGGGCACUCUAAGGUGACUGCCGGUGACAAACCGGAGGAAGGUGGGGAUGACGUCAAAUCAUCAUGCCCCUUAUGACCUGGGCUACACACGUGCUACAAUGGACAGAACAAAGGGCAGCGAAACCGCGAGGUUAAGCCAAUCCCACAAAUCUGUUCUCAGUUCGGAUCGCAGUCUGCAACUCGACUGCGUGAAGCNGGAAUCGCUAGUAAUCG